UGGGGAAUAUUGGACAAUGGGCGAAAGCCUGAUCCAGCCAUGCCGCGUGUGUGAAGAAGGUCUUCGGGUUGUAAAGCACUUUAAGUUGGGAGGAAGGGCCAUUACCUAAUACGUGAUGGUUUUGACGUUACCGACAGAAUAAGCACCGGCUAACUCUGUGCCAGCAGCCGCGGUAAUACAGAGGGUGCAAGCGUUAAUCGGAAUUACUGGGCGUAAAGCGCGCGUAGGUGGUUUGUUAAGUUGGAUGUGAAAUCCCCGGGCUCAACCUGGGAACUGCAUUCAAAACUGACUGACUAGAGUAUGGUAGAGGGUGGUGGAAUUUCCUGUGUAGCGGUGAAAUGCGUAGAUAUAGGAAGGAACACCAGUGGCGAAGGCGACCACCUGGACUGAUACUGACACUGAGGUGCGAAAGCGUGGGGAGCAAACAGGAUUAGAUACCCCCGUAGUCCCUGAGCGGGCUGGCAAGGCGCAU
rnacentral:rRNA from 1 species